UGUCUCCUCGAGUCGCUCAGAAAGGCUCAUCAAUUGGACAGUCAAGUCGGAUUUUUCACGUUCGAUCUAAAAAUGGAAACACAAACCAUUGGUCAAAUAAUCAAUUCAUAACCAAUCAGCUUUACAACAUGAGAAUAAACAGAAGUCAAAGAAACAAAUGUCAAAGGAUUUGUCAGAAAUUGUAAUUGUCAACUUGAUGAGAUUGUUUUUUUUAAACAACCCCAGAAAAAGGAUAACUUCAAGGAUCAAUUGUUUAGUCCCAAUUUCAUUUCCAUUUAGGAAACAGUUAUCAAGAGUAAAAGUAAAGUUUCUAGGUAGGGUGUAAAACAGAAUGAGAACGAGAAAGUAGAGACUGAUGAAGAAAGAGACAAGAAGAAAAAGAAAGAAGAGAAAGAUUGAAGGUGGAGAAGGAAUCCUGGAAAUAAUUUUUUUUCCAAAGACACAGUCUCCAUGUCUUUUGACUUGCUUGAAUCUUCCGUGAAAAAACUCGAAGCUGUUAUAUGUACUUAUAUGUAUUUGAUUUCGAACAGAAUCUGGAUGUUUGCCAGUCGUGAUUAAUUGGAAAAAAACAGAAGAAGAUCAACUUUUCAGCUUGUAAAAGCAAAAUCAAUCACAUGGUAACAAAUUUAGCAACUCUGGAAUAAACUUGCAGGUUAACCUUGGAUAAAGUUUUACAUGCUGAUGAAUGAUUUACUACGAAUCAAUGGGCACUGGAAAUGGCUAAUCAUAAAGGGAGCAAAAGAGUUACAUCAUUUUCCACCAUUUAUACAAGAUACAGGCAAAGCUUGACGAAAAUAUCUUCCAUGAAUAGCUUAGAAACAACAAGCAACAAGUGGUAAUGAAAGUACAUGGAAAAUCGUCAAUAUAAUCCGAUAUCAUUGAUGCAAACGAUCUCUAAGCCGAUAGAUUGCUGUGUCUAUAAGUGGAUGGACUGAUUUCUCAUCAUUAUACCAUAAACUCGCCAGAAUCUGGAAACCAAGCAAAUCAAAUAUUCUUGGUGUCAAAGCUAAAGAUUAUCGAUAACAUGAAUAUUAUUGCUGUGAUGGUGGCAAUAGUUAUGGCAAAGAAUGGAUAUCAAGAAUGGUUACGAUUAGCAUUUCAAACAAUUGCUCUAAUCUUGAUGGUAUUUUCUUGCGUAAAGAAUUGAAAAGGAUCAACCCAAGAUUAGAAUUAAAGAUUGAAUAGUUUGGAAGAGAUGAAAGAGGAGAAACUGAUUCGGGCGAGGAUGAUUAUGCUGAUGAUACUGAUUAUGAGUGUAAAGAAUAGUGGAAAACUCGCUCAUUGAAACAGCUACACUUUCCUCGCUAUUUUUGGUCUUGCUCCUCAGUUUAUCUCUAAAAUUCUGUUCCUCUCUCUCUUUCUUUCUAUCUCUUUCUGAGCUGCAUUUUUUACUAUCAUCUCUGAAGUUUUUUUUCCUGAAGUUCCUAAGAGGGAGAAUAAGAUCUACAUAUAGCAAGAAAAAUAAGAUCAACGUUAAGAGACAAAACACCGAGAAUUCCCCUGUUAUUGGAAUCACUUUCCUCUGUCUUUUUUCUGUUUCUCUUCGUUAGUCACUUCUUUUAAUAAUUUAUACUCACUGAGUCAAGCAAUCAUCAUCCAACUAGAAUGUGAAAAGAUACGGUUAACUAUAAUUUUACACCAUAAUUUUGACUCAAAAAAGAGACAUUUGAUGAAGCUUUUUGCAUAAAAAUAUUUCUGGCUCUUGAAAGAUAAAAAUCUGUCUAAUAACCUUUUCAAUUUUUCUUCAAUUUCUAUCCAGACUAUUUCAUAGCUAUAAUCUAUCAUGGCAAAGAUCAGGAAAAGGAAGAAGGUUGAUAAGCUUUUCAAUAAGAUAAGGAUUCAUUCAAUCGUAGCUGAUCAAAAUCUCAAAACUAGUAAAUUAUUUCACUGAACGUUUGGCUAAACUGGACAAUUUCCGCUUAAGUUACAUUCACAAAUUGAAAUUUCAGUUUGUUUGAAUGUUUAAUUUUUUUAGAUUAAUUUUCAUUCGAAUCAUUUGUUGAUUUGUUACAAAAAUCAACAUUGAUUUGAUUUUGAGUAACCUUUCUGCAACAGUUUACAAUCUAUUUUAAGUUUUCUUUCCCUUUCCUUGGAUUACUCAGUUUCCCUUGACUCAUCGUAAUCAGCAUCAGCAUCAUUAUCAUCUUCUUCAUCACCAGAAAUUUGAGCUGAGGAAUGAAGAAAAUUAGAUGAAGGUUACUCAAAAACUUUUUUCACCAAGAUUAACAUAAAUAUUCACACAGGUUUGCAAAAUAUUGACCUGAUUGUUGGUUAAUCUUGGAAACAAAAGCCUAUUCAUCCUUCAGUUGACAAUUAUUUACUUUUUUCACACAAAUCCAUUAGUAAUUGUUUUUUAUCCAAAUAGUUGUAGAUUAUUGUCAGUCUUACCCUUUGUCUAAGUUCCCGUUCACUUUCCAAAUCUUCUUGGAGAAGUCGAAUCUUAUCCUGUAAUACAAAAAAAUCAAUGGAUGAAUCAACCAAUGUUUAAAUAGAAAUAGUUACACCAAUAUGAUAAAUUGAACAUUGAAUACAGAUAUACCCAGAAAUGGGUAAACCCGAGUUGACCUUAAAGUCAAAUUGACUGACAUCUUCAAAAGCAAUAGAACCAGAAUAACUGUUUUCAUUUGGUGUUAACCAGAGUUUAACAUUUAACGGACACUUACCUCAAGCCUGGUGAGGGCUCCAAUAUCGGUUCCAUAUUCAAGAUCCAAAUGUCCACCACCACCGGAUGAUUUGUACAUAUAUUUAGUCGUUCUAACAGAUGAGGAACUCAUGGUGAUAUCUUAUUAUUGAAG